CACGUAGGGUGCGAGCGUUGUCCGGAAUUAUUGGGCGUAAAGAGCUCGUAGGCGGUGUGUCGCGUCGGCCGUGAAAACCUGCAGCUUAACUGUGGGCUUGCGGUCGAUACGGGCAUCACUGGAGUUCGGGCAGGGGAGACUGGAAUUCCUGGUGUAGCGGUGAAAUGCGCAGAUAUCAGGAGGAACACCGAGUGGCGAAGGCAGCUCGCUGGGACGGUACUGGACGC
rnacentral:rRNA from 1 species